CUAGGAACAGCCAAAGGGGCAUAAGGAUGUAGUAAGAGAGACUAAAUUAGGGCCAUUGAAUCAAACACCCUGCUCUCCAUAAUGGCCAACCAGAUGCCUUCUAGGAGAGGCCCACAUGGUGGACAUGGGAACAGAAGCCCUUCUCUGCUGGUGUGCCAUCAAAAUACCUCUGGAAGUAAAAGCUUUUAUUGAACUGUAUCAAAGGUGAGCGGGUUCUGAAGGAAAAGACCCCUCAAAGGGGUUGGCCAACUGUCCAGGUCCAGACUCUGCCUGGGAAAGCAGCAUAACAGACAACAGACCGGCGGGUGUUGACACGCUUCCCCCCAUUCCCAUGGCUUCACCUGUUAAUAACUGACCUAGUUUCCACAUCAUGUUAAGCCAAACCAUAGUUUAUAGUGAACGUGCAAGUGCGUGGGCUCUGCAAGAUGAGAUUGUGGCUGCUUUGCUCCUCCCUGGUCAUUCUGUUGCUGCACCGUGCUGUGUUAAGCCAUGGUCUUGCUUAAUGUGUCAUCUGAACCUGGUUUAGCUCUGCAGGACAAAACCAUGAGUCAUAAACCACAGGACAAUUCGUGAAUAAAACACAUGGUUAGUUUUGAGAAAGCAAAACCAUGAACACAGGUUCAGAUGACACCCUAAGUUAGCACUUGCAGAAUUAAACAUUCUUACACCUUGCUUCACCUUGGUCUCCUAAUGUUAGAAUGCCAGGGUUGAGGUGGAGAGACUCUCUGAGAAUAUGUAUGCUAUUGUUUGCAAGUAUAUUCCUGUUAGGAGAGAAUAUAUUUGAGAACUUUCCUCCAGAAUUAUUCCAGCGCUGAUUUAUAUAACCAAGGUCUGCAUAAUAAAGGUUCGACUGUGAUCAUGCCCUUCAGGGCUUUCCUUCAUGAAGAACAUGUCAUAAACAUUCGUUUUCUUGUAGCAGUGAAACAAAAAUAGUCACGGCGACUGAUAUGCCACGGAACGCCCUGCCAUGCUCCGAGCAGUGCAUCCACCCACUUGCAUGCUUCGAGAGCAGGAGCACACCCUCCUGUCGCCUUCUGUAUUCCCCUGAGAGACAAAGAUGGAAGAGACAACUGAGGAAAUUAAGGUAGACAGCUCAGAGAUACACAUACACUCUGACAUACAAUGCAGAAGAAGACAAACUCACAAGGAAAACUCACACAGCCCAUUAAAGAUGGUAUCAUCAGUGUGUUUGCACUGUAUACUUAUCCCCACUCCCUCCAAAUGAUGACUAUUCAUAGCACUGUUUCUCGUCUUCAGUGUGGGCCAUACCAAAGCCAGUUAUAGAGCAGUCUAGGAAAGAGUCCUGACAUUGUUAAAUGGAAAACGAGCGAGGUCCCAACCAAAGAAGAAUAGCAACUUAAAUUGACAGAAUAUGCGCAGCUUGCAGACUUAACAAAUAAAAUAAGAGAACAAGAAGAACAUACGUUUAGAGAAGAUUGGAAAAUGUUUAUUGAAUAUAACUGUGUACAGCUGAGGACACUGGCAACAUUAAGAUAAAUUCAACAGUGUAAAUAAGUUUUGAUGGAUGUAAUAAUGGAAUACUGAACGGUAUAGUUUUUGUAAAAUAUGCAGGGAUUUAUGAUAUGUAGAAUGAACCAUGGAAAGAGAAGAGAGGAAGUCACUGAUAUCUUAAGGAUGUAAAAAUGAGUAUUUUAAAUUGAAAAACAGAA